AUACAUCAUAAACAGGUGCACCGACUAGAAGUCCCUAUAGAUUUCGACUUAGUAUAUUUAAAUGAUUUACCCUAUAAUUGUGUGUACGACUUUGAAAUUUCUUUUUAGAUUUGUAUAGAAAUUUAAGGUAGCUAAAAAGUUAUCCACUAGAUUUCCACUACUUGUCUUAACACACAGAUCCACCAAUCCAAAAACCAUGUUUUGGCAGAUAUAUUAUGAAUGUGACGUUUUACCUCACAUUUGAAAUAUAGAAAGGCUCCGUUUUUGAUCUUAUCUAUAAUAGAAACAAGUGCGAGAUAAGAAUUAAUUGCAACUAAAGAGACGAUAUAUAACGGAGUGCAACAUUGAAGAAAAUCACAAGAUCGCCGAAGCCGAACAGUAAGAAACGUAACUUACGUUAAAAAGAAUAUCUUAAAAUGCGCUCUAUUUCGCUAAUUGUAACAUUUCUAGCUGUUCUGCUCUUUACCGUACAUGACGCUGAUAGUUUGCUGGUUGUUUUUGAUAAAACGGGAAAAAAUGGAAAACGAGGAAUUUCAAAGGUAUCUAAGACUAUCAAUACUCCACAAGCAAGAGAAGACCGUUUAAAGAAAUAUUCUAGAUUGUACAAGUAUAUAAAGCAACGGCUAGCUGAAGCAGAGAGACCAGAAAUUCCAAUACAGUAUGAAGAAUGAAAAUGUCCACGAAAAACUAAAAUACAAUACAACAUACACAAAUAUAUAUAUAGUAACGAAAAUUGAAAUGUAUCAGAUUCAUUAUCGAGAAUAAACUACUGUCACAAUUCGA